AUAGACGCUGAUGAAGCACCAGCAAGGUAACUGUACCCAGUAGAUCAAGUACCAUCUUACACACUGUGCUCACUCACUCACAGAGCUGGCUGUAUUCUGGCUGGUCUGGGGUUCACUCCACAGAAGAAUGAGAUUUUAUCUAGCUAAGACACUAUUUGCAAGGGGAAGGCGUGGGUGUUUUUUCAGAAUCAGGCUUGUUUUCAGAGCUAUCUUUUAGCUGCCAUAACUUGAAUUCCGUGGAUACAAUUUCAAUGAUUUUCUGAUUUUCUGAAAGCUUAGAAAGAGACCUUUCAAAUGGUGUCAUCAAAGUUUAUAUUUGAGAGAUAAUAAAGUAUUUGCCAAUUUGGCCAUAACAUGAAUAAAAUAGCCCAUGGGGUCCAAGGCGGAAAAUUACAAAUUAGGGCCCCAACAAAAUUUUGGAUCGAAACACAUCAUUUGAAAGGUCUCUUUAAUUCUAAGCUUUCAGAAAUCAUAACAUUUUUGACAUUGGAUCAACGGUAUUAAAGUUAAUGGCUGUUGAAAAAUCAGGUUUGUUUUUAGAGAUAUCUUUUAGAGGCCAUAACUUGUGUUAGGAACGUCCUAUUUAAAAAACUCAAAGACGCAUUCUGUAGCUCUGAGAAAGCACUAUUGUAUACAAUUAAAGUGUCUUAAAACCGCUAAUUGCUCGCAGUGCCAAAGCUCACUAAUUUGUGUGUCCUAUGCUGUAGAUGUGGGAACACGGAACCAUCGUCGGUUGUGUGCAGUGUAUUAUAGUCGUACCCCCGGGUUUGAAGUGUCCAUGGACUACUGGACCGUGUCAUGCAGCUGCUGGAGGUGUCCUUCACCAAAGAUGGCAGUGGAUACUUCCUCAAGGCAGCUAAAGACUCUACCUAGUUCCCGGGCCGUUGUGCAGAGGUGUGUGUACGUGGGAAGGUGAUUGGGAAACUGGGCAUGCUCCGUCCUGGUGUGUCUGUUGUGCAGCUCUAGUGUGUGUGAGACUGGGAGGUGUGUCUGGUGCAGCUGUUCUCACGGCCUCCUCCAACCAGUACCUGCCCUCCGUACUCUCCAGGGAGAACCUAUCUCUUCAGGCCUACUAUGCUGCUCACUCUAACUGACUCUUACGAUUAUUCUAGUAUUCAUAAUGUAAGUACGUACAUAUUGUAUACCAGUACAUGUGUUGUGUGUGGUGUCCCUAUAGUUGAGUGUGAGUGUGAGAGGCCAUAUAUAUAAGGAGGACAUACGUGUGUCGAGGCUGGAGGUGGCCCGUGUGCUGAGGGAGAGAAAUGAGUACAAAGAGAAGUACCUCUCACUAUUGGAGCAGAUUAGGUAAAGGGUCAUCGUGUAGUGUUUGUAAAGCGGUCAUCAUAACUUUAAUAACUGCUAAUACAUACUAACACUGUGUAUCCAGAGGAGGUUCGACAGGUGCAGUGCAGCUCAAGCAAUUAGUCUCUGAUUACACGCUUGCAUGAGCGGAUAAUUAGUGUUCAUGCAAUCAAAGGCUAAUACAUACUAACACUGUGUAUUUGUACUAACAAUGUUAGUUGAUUAAUAAUAAUGUUUCUCUGUUGCACACGAUGAGUGCUGA